rnacentral:rRNA from 1 species
CGUCUAUAUACGUAUAGCAUAUCAAUAAGCGGAGGAAAAGAAACUAACUAGGAUUCCCUCAGUAACGGCGAGUGAAGCGGGAAGAGCUUAAAUUUGAAAUCUUCAAGGUUCUACCUUGACGAAUUGUAGUUUAAAGAAGUGUUUUCUGUUGGAGUUUUGGUAAAAGUUCUUUGGAAUAGGACAUCACAGAGGGUGAGAAUCCCGUAUUUGACCAUUAUUUCCAACUUUGUGAUACACUUUCAAAGAGUCGGAUUGUUUGGGAAUGCAGUCCAAAAUGGGUGGUAAAUUUCAUCUAAAGCUAAAUAUUGGCGAGAGACCGAUAGCGAACAAGUUCCGUGAGGGAAAGAUGAAAAGAACUUUGAAAAGAGAGUUAAACAGUACGUGAAAUUGUCAAAAGGGAAGCGUUUGACACAAGUGUUGUUUUCUCGAAAAUCAAUUAAAAAUGACCGGAUUUUGUGUUGUAUUGACUUUAUCAGCUUUCUGCACUUUUUUCCUGUCUUUUUUAAUGCACUUUUCGUUUAACAAGUCAACAUCAAUUUCUUUUGUUGUAAAAGGGUCAUUGGAAGGUGGCUUUCUUUUCGGAGAAAGUGUUUAUAGCCUUGUACCUCUGCAAUCGGAGAGAUUGAGGUCUGCAGCGCAGAUCCUUCGGGGUUAGAUACAUUUGUGCUAAGUUAUAGUCUUUUCAUAGACAACUUGUUGACUAUGAUUAAGUCUUGUAGCUUACUCGCUUAUGCUAUUUUACCUACGCUUAGGAUGUUGAUAGUCACAGCGUGUAC